UACAGAGGGGGCAAGCGUUGUUCGGAAUUACUGGGCGUAAAGGGCGCGUAGGCGGCCUGCUAAGUCGAACGUGAAAUCCCUGGGCUCAACCCAGGAACUGCGUUCGAUACUGGUUGGCUUGAAUUCGGGAGAGGGAUGCGGAAUUCCAGGUGUAGCGGUGAAAUGCGUAGAUAUCUGGAGGAACACCGGUGGCGAAGGCGGCAUCCUGGACCGACAUUGACGCUGAGGCGCGAAAGCCAGGGGAGCAAACGGG
rnacentral:rRNA from 1 species